rnacentral:rRNA from 1 species
UGGGGAAUAUUGGACAAUGGGCGCAAGCCUGAUCCAGCCAUGCCGCGUGAGUGAUGAAGGCCUUAGGGUUGUAAAGCUCUUUCACCGGAGAAGAUAAUGACGGUAUCCGGAGAAGAAGCCCCGGCUAACUUCGUGCCAGCAGCCGCGGUAAUACGAAUGGGGCUAGCGUUGUUCGGAAUUACUGGGCGUAAAGCGCACGUAGGCGGGCAUUUAAGUCAGGGGUGAAAUCCCAGAGCUCAACUCUGGAACUGCCUUUGAUACUGGGUGUCUUGAGUAUGGAAGAGGUUAGUGGAAUUCCGAGUGUAGAGGUGAAAUUCGUAGAUAGUCGGAGGAACACCAGUGGCGAAGGCGGAUCACUGGUCCAUUACUGACGCUGAGGUGCGAAAGCGUGGGGAGCAAACA